GAUCCUGGCUCAGAAUCAACGCUGGCGGCGUGCCUAACACAUGCAAGUCGAACGAGAAAGUGGUAGCAAUACCAUGAGUAAAGUGGCGCACGGGUGAGUAACACGUGACUAACCUACCCUGGAGUGGGGGAUAACUGAGGGAAACCUUAGCUAAUACCGCAUAAUACCUACGGGUCAAAGGAGCAAUUCGCUUUGGGAGGGGGUCGCGGCCGAUUAGUUAGUUGGCGGGGUAACGGCCCACCAAGACGAUGAUCGGUAUCCGGCCUGAGAGGGCGCACGGACACACUGGAACUGAAACACGGUCCAGACUCCUACGGGAGGCA
rnacentral:rRNA from 1 species